AGGGAAUGAGGUUAAUAUUCCUCAGACUGGACGUGGAUAUUGUAUGGUAACAUAAGUGAGCCCGGAGACAUCGGUAUGAACUCCUGGAAGAGUUAUCUUUUCUUUUUAACAAUCUAUCGCCCUGAAAUGGGAUUAUCCCGAGCUAGGGCUUUAUGGUUGGCAGAGCAUCGCACUCUAUGCAAUGUCAGGUGCGUUCAUAACGAUCCUUGAAAAUCCGGGUAAGAGAUUUAUUCUCACGCCAGGUCGUACCAAUAACCGCAUCAGGUCUCCAAGGUUAGCAGCCUCUGGUCAAUAGGAUAAUGCAGAUAAGGGAAUUCGGCAAAUUAGAUCCGUAACUUCGGGAAAAGGAUUGGCUCUGAGGAUUGGAUUCAAGGGCCCAUUCAUGAAAGCUUAGCUGUCUUGGAACUGCGGAGGCAACGAAGUGGCUCCAGGAUAGCGAACGCUGGAAUGGGUGGGACGUCGUUCAUCGGCUUUCCUUGAAUAUAACAAUUAACUCAGAACUGAAGAGAGUUCG
rnacentral:rRNA from 1 species